rnacentral:lncRNA from 1 species
AUUAACCCUGAUGGCUUCUGAUGCUCAAUCUUCGACUUCUGACAAUUCAAACAAGAAUAAAAAAACUCAAAAUAACAUCCUUGUUCAUACCUAGACACCAAAACAUCUUCUUCAAAUCUUGAUACAUUUUAGUAGCACUAAGAUGAAUACUCAAACCACUCAUAUGACCUUCUUCAUGGAUACUCUUCUUAAGCUUCGGCACAUAUGGCACACAGACUUUGUCCAGG